rnacentral:lncRNA from 1 species
AUGAGCGCAAAAGUAGAGAUACGGCCAAAUCUAGAGAGUGAUAGCAAAGAGCACCACUUGCGGACCAUUUAGUACAGGAUUAUCACACUUGAAAAAUUUUAUAAAGUAUUGGUUUUGCUGGUUUCUCUGAUGAGGUUUAAAUGAUUACGAAUUUAAAAUAAUCAGGUAAUCACAAGUGGCAUUGUUAUGGUAGCAUUGUCAAAGCUUAAAGCACGC